rnacentral:pre_miRNA from 1 species
AGAGCUGGAGAGAAGGCAAGAUGUUGGCAUAGCUGUUGAGUUAAGAACCUGCUAUGCCGACAUGUUGUCAUCUUUCUUG